UACGUAGGGUGCGAGCGUUGUCCGGAAUUAUUGGGCGUAAAGAGCUUGUAGGCGGUCUGUCGCGUCUGCUGUGAAAAUCCGGGGCUCAACCCCGGACUUGCAGUGGGUACGGGCAGACUAGAGUGUGGUAGGGGAGACUGGAAUUCCUGGUGUAGCGGUGAAAUGCGCAGAUAUCGGGAGGAACACCAGUAGCGAAGGCGGCUCGCUGGGCCAUUCCUGACGCUGAGACGCGAAAGCUAGGGGAGCGAACAGG
rnacentral:rRNA from 1 species